rnacentral:rRNA from 1 species
UACAGAGGUCUCAAGCGUUGUUCGGAUUCAUUGGGCGUAAAGGGUGCGUAGGUGGCGGGGCAAGUCAGGUGUGAAAUCUCGGGGCUCAACCCCGAAACUGCACUUGAUACUGCCUGGCUGGAGUACUGGAGAGGAGAUUGGAAUUUACGGUGUAGCAGUGAAAUGCGUAGAUAUCGUAAGGAAGACCAGUGGCGAAGGCGAAUCUCUGGACAGUUACUGACACUGAGGCACGAAGGCCAGGGGAGCAAACGGG